CCAAAAAUAUACAUACAUAUUUAUUAUACUAUGUCAAUACUUCAAGUGAAUCACUCACAGACCGAUCUAAUUGAAAGUAGUACAAGUAUAUAUAUGUACGCAUAAAUGAAGAAAUAGCUGCUGGAUCUACAAAGAAAAUGCUACAUUAAUUAACAGAAUUAUCUACAAAUUAAAUGAAUAGGCAAAGUGAAGUCUGUUGAUGCGUGUGUGAGCACAACCGCAGCGGCAUAAACAAAUAACUGUCGAAUACUCUUUCAAUUAGCUGUUUCUGAAUAAAGGGUUGGCACAAAACCGCAAUUACCGUAAAAGUAA